UACAGAGGGGGCAAGCGUUGUUCGGAAUUACUGGGCGUAAAGGGCGCGUAGGCGGCCUGUUAAGUCGAACGUGAAAUCCCCGGGCUCAACCCGGGAACUGCGUCCGAUACUGGCAGGCUUGAAUCCGGGAGAGGGAUGCGGAAUUCCAGGUGUAGCGGUGAAAUGCGUAGAUAUCUGGAGGAACACCGGUGGCGAAGGCGGCAUCCUGGACCGGUAUUGACGCUGAUGCGCGAAAGCCAGGGGAGCAAACGGG
rnacentral:rRNA from 1 species